rnacentral:misc_RNA from 1 species
UUUCCGUAGGUGAACCUGCGGAAGGAUCAUUAAUGAGUUGUCAUGGGGUUCGAUGCUGGCAGCCAAUGUUUGGAUGCAUGUGCUUGCCCUAACAAUCAUCUUCCAAACACCUGUGCACAUCUUUGAGGGAGUCUUGAGUUGGUUGCCGCUCUUGGGUGAUUUUCUCACAUUCCCUUAAAUCAUUAUACGCUAUUAACAAUGUUGAACGUGCUCUGUGCCGCAAGGCUAUUAAUAUAAUACAACUUUUAACAACGGAUCUCUUGGCUCUC